rnacentral:lncRNA from 1 species
GCUGGCUUCACCCAGUGGAUCCCACACGGUGGCCACAGGUGGAGCUGCCUGCCAGUCCCAAGCCCUGAGCCCGCACUCCUCAGCCUUUGGGUGGUCCAUGGGACUGGGUGCCAUGGAGCAGGGGGCGGGGCUCGUCCGGGAGGCUCCAGGGGCACAGCAGCCCACGGCAGGUGGCGGUGAGGCUCAGGCAUGGCGGGCUGCAGGUCCCAAGCCCUGCCCCGCAAGGAGGAGCUAAGGCCCUGCGAGAAAAGGAGGCAGCUAAGGCCCGGUGAGAAGUCGAGCACAGCAGCUGCUGGCCCAGGGGCUAAGCCCCUUACUGCCCGGCUGGCGGGGCCGGCUGGCUGCUCCGAGUGUGGGGGCCCGCCGAGCCCACGCCCAUCCAGAGCUCACGCUGGCUCACAAGCGGCACGCACAGCCCCGGUUCCCGCCUACGCCUCUCCCUCCUCACAUCCGGGCAAGCUGAGGGAGCCGGCUCCGGCCUUGGCCAGCCCAGGAAGGGGCUCCCCCAGUGCAGCCGCCGGCUGAAGGGCUCCCCAAGUGCCGCCAGAGUGGGCGCGGAGGCCGAAGAGGCACCGAGAGCGAGCGAGGGCUGUGAGGGCCGCCAGCAAGCUGUCACCUCUCAGUACCGCACAGUAAUAGUGUCAUCAUCAUGAAUGAGUUUCUCACAUCAAAAAGUGUGUUCCUGCUGCUUUCCAUCUGCUUUUCUUCCUCUUUAACCUUGCUGGGACAUCUAAAGAGAUGCAUAAUAAAUCAGGUUAAGGAAAAAGAACAAAACAAAACUGGCUAUCUGGAUCAACUGGGAUGCUAGGAAAAGCACUGCAGAGAAAUACCGAUCAAAUAAUAUUCAAUAACAAAAUGAUACAAACCUACAAAAGGAAGGGCACAGGACAGGAAGAAGUAUGAACAAGAAAAAAAAAAUAGGCUGGGUGCGGUGGCUCACGCCUGUAAUCCCAGCACUUUGGGAGGCUGAGGUAAGCAGAUCAUGAGGUCAGGAGAUUGAGACCAUCCUGGCCAACAGGGUGAACCUCGUCUCUACCAAAAAUACAAAAAUUAGCUGGGUGUGGUGCCGCGCGCUUGUGUCCCAGCUGCUCUGGAGGCUGAAGCAGGAGAAUUGCUUGAAGCCGGGAGGUGGAGGUUGCAGUGAGCCAAGAUCGUGCCACUGCACUCCAGCCUAGUGACAGAGCGAGACUCCGUCUCAAAAACAAACAAACAAAAAAAAAAAACUGGCCCAAAACUGAUAAAAAUGCAGUCUGAAUAAGUAGAGCAAAAGGCGCAGAAAAUGUUUCCUCUUAGAAGAGGCCUUGAAGACUUUAUAUCUGAGAACUAAAUAUAGCAAUUUUAUUAAGUUAUAUAUAAUAAUAUUGAGAUUUUAAAAUACAGUGAUGGAAAAACUAGAACACUUAAAGAUAGAACAGCCAACUUCUCAUCAGAAAUAUGAAAGUUAUAAGGCAAAUAGUUUUCACAGUAUAGUUCUAGAACCAGCAAUAUUGGCAUCACUUUGAACAUGAUUAGAAAUUCAAACUCUCAAGACCUACCCAGAUCCACUGAUUUGGAAACUAUAUCAGUAAUCUGGUUUUUUUAAUAAUUUUUUUAAUUUGUAAUUUUUUAAUUAUUAUUUUUGUAGAGACGAGGUCUUGCUGAGUUGCCUAAGCUGGUCUUGAACUCCUGGACUCAAGUGAUCCUCCUACCUCGGCCUCCCAAAAGCAGCAAUCUAUGUUUUAACAGACUCUCCCUGUGAUUCUCAUGUGUGUUUAUGUUUGAGAACCACUGCUUCAAGACAAUGAGGUCCUUAUCUACCUGCUAGAGCCGGGGAUGUUUACUAAUGGACUGAUAUAUUACCUAAGAUUUCGGCUAUGAUUUAAUACAGAUAUGAGAAGAAAUAUGAUGUUCAUUUUAAGAUGACUCAGAUAGUGUUAACUAGGGAUGGAUUAAAUUGAGAGCCCAGGCUGGAGUGCAGUGGCGUGAUCUUGGCUCACUGCAAGUUCCCAUCUCCAGAGUUCACACCAUUCUGCUGCCUCAGACUCCGGAGUAGCUGGGACUCAGGAGCACGCCACCACGCUCGGCUAAUUUUUUUGUGUUUUUUUUAGUAGAGAUGGGGUUUCACCGUGUUAGCCAGGAUGGUCUCGAUCUCCUGACCUUGUGAUCCGCCCGCCUCAGCCUCUCAAAGUGCUGGCAUUAGAGGCGUGAGCCACUGCACCCUGCCUAAAUUGAAAGUUUACGGAAUCUGGGCUGGGCACGGUGGCUUAUGCCUGUAAUCCCAGUACUUUGGGAGGCUGAGGCAGGCGGAUCACUUUAGGUCAAGAGCUUGAGACCAGCCUGGCCAAUAUGGUGAGACCCCGUCUCUGCUAAAAAAAUAUAAAAAUUAGCUGGGCAUGGUGGUCACCUGUAAUCCCAGAUACUUGAGAGGCUGAGGAAGGAGAAUCGCUUGAACCCAGGAGGUGGAGGUUGCCGUGAGCCGAGAUUGCACCACUGCACUCCAGCCUAGGCAACAAAGUGAGACUCUGUCUCUAAAUAAAUAAAUAAACAAAUAAAAAGGUUUACUGAAUCUGAAAUGUUUGUGAUCCAGGCAAAAAGUGCUAAAUAUCUAAUACAGGGAAGUAAUUGGGAGCUCUGUUCUUUCUGCUCAAAUUUUCUGUUAACAUAAACUGCUCUAACAAAUAAUAUAUUACUUUUGAAAAUGUACUGUAUUUUAAUCUGCUGUGGGUUGCCUUUAACAACAUGAAUGGAUACUUAAUAAGAAAAUGUCAUUUUAAUCAUUUAUUGGCUUUUUAAAAAAUAUAUAUGUAAUAGAAAUUUAUAUCCUAAAAUAUAUCCUUUUGCUUUAGAAUGAUGGCAGAGCUAUAUAACUUUGGCAAAUUUGGGUGGAUUAUAUUCGAAUCACUAAUUGCUAAUACUAAAUUAUCUCACUAGACCUUUUAACACUGUGUUUGUUUUUUGUUUUUGUUUUUUGUCUUUUUUUGCAUAUUGCUUUUAUUUUGCAGAAAAUGUUUUGCUGAUUGUCUUUGGCUAUUUUGUCAGAAGAAAAAUAUAACUGUUAUAAGUUUAACAAUACAAGAUACAAUUACAUGUGCUCAAAAUAAACUCAUUCUAAUGGACUGAAUGGUGAAAUUUCCAUUUCAACUAAAAUCUGUUGUUCUACACAAUGGAUUGAUUAUAUCCUUAACAGCUCAAUUACUAUCUGAAAAGUACUCUAAAGCUAUAAGAAAUAGAAUUAAGUGUGAUUUCAUGUCACUAAAGUAAGAUCAGUGGAGUUUAUAAAUGUUAAUAUGUCCAAGUCAUCUGUAUGCUAUUAUUAGAAAUAAAAAAUAAAUUUCUGGACCCUAGCAAAUAUAUGUUUAUAAUGAAUUAAUAAUAACAAAUUAGGC